GGGGGCGUGCCUGGUCUGGAGCCAGCCUGGUGUGAUUGACUGACAACUCGUAUGCACGAGAGCCAGGAGGAACAUUCAUAGGCUAACAUUGUCCUGAGUCAGCAAUGUUGUAUUUACUUUUAUUUUGUCUUUAUUUGUCGGUGGAGUAAGCAUUUCCCACAGACUGUUAUUAUAUUCGUUGGCUUUUUUUUAGUACGUUUUCACAUUUCACCGUAAGAAUGCCUUGUUCUUCGGUUAGUUGUGCUGACAGACUCUCCAAGGAUUCGCGUAUCCAGUUUUUUCGGUAUUUACAGAAUGAAAACUGAAGGACAGGUGCCAUCCAUCUGGUUGUGGAGAAGGGAAACUGCAUGGACAACAUCUUGAGUUCUCACAUUGGUUGUGAAGAUGAUGCCAGAAAACCACUUCCAGUCUAGCUUCCUCUGAUGGAGGGACAGUCCAACCUUUUAGACAUUUGUUUAUUAUUCACAGUUAAUGCAACUGAAAAAUUUGUUUAAUGUGCCUUUGCAGUCCCUGAACAUAGUUUGCUGUUUGAAGUUUAAAUAAACCUGUGAUUUAGCGGCACUGUGUGCAUUUUCCAUUA